rnacentral:rRNA from 1 species
CAGUAGCCGCGGUAAUACGAAGGGGGCUAGCGUUGCUCGGAAUGACUGGGCGUAAAGGGCGCGUAGGCGGCGAUCAAAGUCAGGCGUGAAAUUCCUGGGCUCAACCUGGGGGCUGCGCUUGAUACUUGGUUGCUUGAGUGGGGAAGGGGGUCGUGGAAUUCCCAGUGUAGAGGUGAAAUUCGUAGAUAUUGGGAAGAACACCGGUGGCGAAGGCGGCGACCUGGUCCUUGACUGACGCUGAGGCGCGAAAGCGUGGGGAGCAAACAGGAUUAGAGACCCCCGUAGUCCCUGUCUCUUAUAC